UGGAUAUGUUGUUAAAGGUUUACCGCCUUGGGAUAGGCUUGCGUCUGAUUAGCUAGUUGGUGUGGUAAUGGCACACCAAGGCUACGAUCAGUAACUGGUCUGAGAGGAUGAUCAGUCACACUGGAACUGAGACACGGUCCAGACUCCUACGGGAGGCAGCAGUGAGGAAUAUUGGGCAAUGCACGAAAGUGUGACCCAGCAACGCCGCGUGGAGGAUGAAGGUAUUCUAUAUCGUAAACUCCUGUGAGAGCAGACGAAAGACAGAUUAUUAAUUUGGAUGACUGUAUGCUCAGAGGAAGCCCCGGCUAACUACGUG
rnacentral:rRNA from 1 species